CCCACUGAAUUUAAGUAUAUUCCUUCAGAAAAGGUGAGUGAACCAGGAGGUGUCAAACGCUGAAUUUCGUCGUCCACGCCGGUCAUCAAGAGCUGUGACGCAAGGGUUGUAUACGGUCGAUCAUUUCGCACGGUUUGGUUCGGAGUUGCCUUAAUGGAGAUGAUCAGAGCGGGUGCCAGGCCCAUUCGGAGCCGGCCGCGAUUGACAGUGCUCUUCGGUCCGAGAGUCGGGUUGCUUAGGUACACAACCCAAAGCGGGUAUAAGUUCUAUCCAAGGUUAAACACGAGGACGGGUCUGACAGCCGACAAGUACCGUGAGG
rnacentral:ncRNA from 1 species